GCGGGUACUGAACCCGUACGAGGGUGCUUCUGAACUGCAUAUAGUUUGGCAGUCCACAUGCAGGAAAACAUGAAGUGAAUUGGUCAGUAUGAAGAAUUUCAGAGAUGAAAGAACUUUAAGUGUGCAGAAUGCCUUCGGUAAAGGUAUUUAUCCAUGGUAAGAAGGAUGGCAUGAUCCCUCCAGGCACAACAAACCAUGUGCAUAUACGCAGUGCAGGCAUAUGCAUAUCAGGGACAUGAGAUGGAUGUUCAGAUGCGAGUAAUCAAGCAGUCAUGCUGUCCUCUCUUGUGAUCCCUCCAACGAGCUCCAUUGGGAAGUCCACUACGCGUCUCACUCUGGUGUCCACCGUGCUCCGUCAGGAACUCCACUACAACUUCACCUCACGCGAUUCAGUACUCAGCCACGACGACAACCGGACUUAACUACCAUAACAGUGCCCACAAGCAGCAUGGCAACAAGCUGGGUGUUCUUGCGGCUGCCUCCCGCUGUUGUUAUUACAAGUGCAAUUCA